rnacentral:rRNA from 1 species
GAUGAACGCUGGCGGCGUGCCUAAUACAUGCAAGUCGAGCGAACAGACGAGGAGCUUGCUCCUCUGACGUUAGCGACGGACGGGUGAGUAACACGUGGAUAACCUACCUAUAAGACUGGGAUAACUUCGGGAAACCGGAGCUAAUACCGGAUAAUAUAUUGAACCGCAUGGUUCAAUAGUGAAAGACGGUUUUACUGUCACUUAUAGAUGGAUCCGCGCCGCAUUAGCUAGUUGGUAAGGUAACGGCUUACCAAGGCGACGAUGCGUAGCCGACCUGAGAGGGUGAUCGGCCACACUGGAACUGAGACACGGUCCAGACUCCUACGGGAGGCAGCAGUAGGGAAUCUUCCGCAAUGGGCGAAAGCCUGACGGAGCAACGCCGCGUGAGUGAUGAAGGUCUUCGGAUCGUAAAACUCUGUUAUUAGGGAAGAACAAAUGUGUAAGUAACUAUGCACGUCUUGACGGUACCUAAUCAGAAAGCCACGGCUAACUACGUG